rnacentral:rRNA from 1 species
UUUGAUCAUGGCUCAGAUUGAACGCUGGCGGCAGGCCUAACACAUGCAAGUCGAACGGUAACAGGAAGAAGCUUGCUUCUUUGCUGACGAGUGGCGGACGGGUGAGUAAUGUCUGGGAAACUGCCUGAUGGAGGGGGAUAACUACUGGAAACGGUAGCUAAUACCGCAUAACGUCGCAAGACCAAAGAGGGGGACCUUCGGGCCUCUUGCCAUCGGAUGUGCCCAGAUGGGAUUAGCUUGUUGGUGGGGUAACGGCUCACCAAGGCGACGAUCCCUAGCUGGUCUGAGAGGAUGACCAGCCACACUGGAACUGAGACACGGUCCAGACUCCUACGGGAGGCAGCAGUGGGGAAUAUUGCACAAUGGGCGCAAGCCUGAUGCAGCCAUGCCGCGUGUAUGAAGAAGGCCUUCGGGUUGUAAAGUACUUUCAGCGGGGAGGAAGGGAGUAAAGUUAAUACCUUUGCUCAUUGACGUUACCCGCAGAAGAAGCACCGGCUAACUCCGUGCCAGCAGCCGCGGUAAUACGGAGGGUGCAAGCGUUAAUCGGAAUUACUGGGCGUAAAGCGCACGCAGGCGGUUUGUUAAGUCAGAUGUGAAAUCCCCGGGCUCAACCUGGGAACUGCAUCUGAUACUGGCAAGCUUGAGUCUCGUAGAGGGGGGUAGAAUUCCAGGUGUAGCGGUGAAAUGCGUAGAGAUCUGGAGGAAUACCGGUGGCGAAGGCGGCCCCCUGGACGAAGACUGACGCUCAGGUGCGAAAGCGUGGGGAGCAAACAGGAUUAGAUACCCUGGUAGUCCACGCCGUAAACGAUGUCGACUUGGAGGUUGUGCCCUUGAGGCGUGGCUUCCGGAGCUAACGCGUUAAGUCGACCGCCUGGGGAGUACGGCCGCAAGGUUAAAACUCAAAUGAAUUGACGGGGGCCCGCACAAGCGGUGGAGCAUGUGGUUUAAUUCGAUGCAACGCGAAGAACCUUACCUGGUCUUGACAUCCACGGAAGUUUUCAGAGAUGAGAAUGUGCCUUCGGGAACCGUGAGACAGGUGCUGCAUGGCUGUCGUCAGCUCGUGUUGUGAAAUGUUGGGUUAAGUCCCGCAACGAGCGCAACCCUUAUCCUUUGUUGCCAGCGGUCCGGCCGGGAACUCAAAGGAGACUGCCAGUGAUAAACUGGAGGAAGGUGGGGAUGACGUCAAGUCAUCAUGGCCCUUACGACCAGGGCUACACACGUGCUACAAUGGCGCAUACAAAGAGAAGCGACCUCGCGAGAGCAAGCGGACCUCAUAAAGUGCGUCGUAGUCCGGAUUGGAGUCUGCAACUCGACUCCAUGAAGUCGGAAUCGCUAGUAAUCGUGGAUCAGAAUGCCACGGUGAAUACGUUCCCGGGCCUUGUACACACCGCCCGUCACACCAUGGGAGUGGGUUGCAAAAGAAGUAGGUAGCUUAACCUUCGGGAGGGCGCUUACCACUUUGUGAUUCAUGACUGGGGUGAAGUCGUAACAAGGUAACCGUAGGGGAACCUGCGGUUG